CGACGGGUUGUGCCAACCGGACGCGAUGGAGAGGAAGAACGCGGAAAUUUUUCCGGUUUCUUUCCGCGGCCAACGAAACGGCAGGCGAGCUUCGAACCCAUCCGACCC
rfam:Rhizobiales bacterium 63-7 SCNpilot_expt_1000_bf_scaffold_2486, whole genome shotgun sequence.